rnacentral:lncRNA from 1 species
AACAACAAAAAAAACUAUGAUGGCUUACUUAAGAAUAAAGAUAAAAGAAUGUAGGCUGAUCAUUGGAAGGAACUGGACUAUCUCCCAGAAUCCUAAUAAUAGCUACCACUUGUAGGGCAUCCACUAUGUUCCAGGCACCAGUCUAAGCUCUUUACAUAAUUACCUUAUUUCGUUCUCCCAUGGGCUCUGUAAGAUAUUUACAGCUAUUAUAUGCCUUUUAUAGAUCAAUAAGGGGUUUACUGAGAAGUUAUACAGUCUUCCCAAGGUCAGAAGUUGGUAAAUGACAGAUCUGGAAUUCAAACCCAGACAGCCUGACGCCUGGCCCUGUGCUCUUAUCCACUCUGCCAUACUGCAUCCCAGAUGCUCAUGAAUACUGUGUGUCCAGGCUGCAGGAAGGGCAUGUACUUCAGUGGCUCCAGGGAGCUCAUGUUAUUUCUAAAGUCCUGACAUCAAAAUGACUCACUCUGGUGACUGUCAGUUUCAAAUUCCUAGGAAAAAGAAAUAAUUGUCUUAGAAGUCUGCCCUGCAUUAAUAAGUGAUGGCCAGUGGUUCAAAGACAUGAAACAAAGACAUGGCAUUUCAGGGUUGACUGGUGGUAUGAAGCCUUCCUGAGAGAAAAGAAAAUUAUAAACCAAAGAGCUAUUGACAAGAAUUAUUUAACAUGUAAGUUGUGAGAUAUUAAGGAUGUGGUCUAUAUAUUUAGACAUAUAGAAAUAUUAAUAAACAGAGAAGAGGAACUCUAAUUUGUGUGAAAACUUUGACUGGUAUAUAUUAUUAUUAUUUUAUUUUUCUUCAAGGGUAAACUGUUUUAAGGAUAUGAGUGAUAUCUUUAUUUUAUUUUUUCAUUUUUAAAAAUUUUAUUACUUAAUGAAUUUUUAUUACAUUUAUAGUUGUACAAGGAUCAUCAAUCACAACCCAAUUUUAUAGCAUUUCCAACCAAAACCCCCAGCGCAUCCCCCCACCCCCGCAACCUGUCUCCUUUGGAAACCGUAAGUUUUUAAGUCUGUGAGUCAGUAUCUGUUCUGCAAAGAAGUUCAUUGUGUCCUUUUUUUAGAUUCUACAUGUGAUAGCAUUUGAUGUUGGUGUUUCACCAUCUGACUGACUUCAUUUCACGUAAUUUCUAGGUCCAUCCAUGUUGCUGCAAAGGCCAUUAUUUUCUUUUAAUGGCUCAGUAAUAUUCCAUUGUGUAUAUGUACCACAUCUUCUUUAGCCACUCCUCUGCCAAAGGACAUUUAGGUUGUUUCCAUGUCUUAGAUAUUGUAUAUAGUGCUGCAAUGAAUACUGGAGUACAUGUAUCCUUUCGAAUCAUAGUCUUCUCUAGAUAGAUGCCCAGGAGUGGGAUUACUGGAUCAAAUGGUAAUUCUACUUUUAAUUUUCUGAGGACUCUCCAUACUGUUUUCCACAGUGGUUGCACCAAUUUACAUUCCCACCAACAGUGUAAGAGGGUUCCCUUUUCUCCACACCCUCUCCAGCAUUUAUUGUUUGUAGACUUUUUUUUUUUUUUUUUUUUUUGUCUUUUAGGGCCACACCCACAGCAUAUGGAGGUUCCUAGGCUAGGGGUCCAAUUGGAACUGUAUCCAAAGGCCUACACCAGAGCCAAGCAACGCGGGAUCCGAGCCGAGUCUGAGACCUACACUACAGCUCACGGCAAUGCCGGACCCUUAACCAACUGAGAAAGGCCAGGGAUUGAACCCGCAUCCUCAUGGAUGCUAGUCGGGUUCACUAACCGCUGAGCCAUGACAGGAACUCCUAUUAUUUGUAGACUUUUUGAGCAUGGCCAUUCUGGCUGGUGUAAGGUGGUACCUCAUAGUGGUUUUCAUUUGAUUUCUCUAACGAUUAGUGAGGCUGAACAUCUUUUCAUGUGUUUUUUGGCCAUCUGUAUGUCUUCUUUGGAGAACUGUCUGUUUAGAUCUUCUGCCCAUUUUUUUGAUGGGGUUGUUUGUGUUUUUUGGGGAUUGAGCUGCAAAAGGUAUGUGUAAAUUUUGGCGAUUAAUCCCUUGUCAGCUGCUUCAUUUGCAAAUAUUUUCUCCCAUUCUGUGGGUUGUCCUUUCGUUUUGUUUAAGGUUUCUUUUGCUGUGCAGAAACUUUUACGUUUAAGUAAGUUCCAUUUGUUUAUUUUUGUUUUUAUUGUCAUUACUCUAGGAGGUGGAUCUGAGAAGAUGUUGCUGUGGUUUAUGUCAGAGAGUGUGUGGCCUAUGUUUUCCUCUAAGAGUUUUAUAGUAUCUGGUCUUAUACUAGGUCUUUAAUCCAUUUUGAGUUUAUUUUUGUGUAUGGUGUUAGGAAGUAUUCUAAUUUCAUUGUUUUACAUGUAAUGAGAAAACAGGGUAGAUAGAUUAAUCCACACCCAAAGCUAAAAAGCUAGUAAAUAGCACAGUUGAGCGUUUACACACAUUAACUGGCACCAAAAUCCAUGCUUUCUCUUAUAAUACUGUAACUCCUCCUUUUUAGGGGACCAAAAUUUGGCUCACAAGAAAUAGAAAAAGGGCUUAAAGAUGGAGCAUUUAUAUGAAAAUUUUAGCAAUCCUUCUAUGUACCCCAUAAUGACAAUACACAGUAAGUGUACAAUAAUUUCAAGGGCUUCCCUCAUAUUUGACUAAAAAUUUUAAGACUCUUUUUUAUUUUUCCUUUUUUAAGGCUGCCAGGCUAGGGUCGAAUAAGAGCUGCUGCUGUAGGCUACACCACAACCACAGCAACACCGGAUCCGAGCCACAUCUGUGACCUGUGACAAUGCUGGAUCCUUAACCCACUCAGCCACAACAGGAUCCUUAAUCCACAUCCUCAUGGAGAGGUCAGGGCCUUAACCCACUGAGCCACAACAGAAACUUCAAAAUUUCAAGACUGUUCAAACAGAAAAUUAUCUAAUUUUCAAUCUCCACAUAUGUUUGAUUAAAGUCCCAUCAAUGACUCUAUAGCCAGCUAAGAAAGAAGUUAGUAACUGAAUCAAAGUAACUGAAUCAAGGAAGAUAUGAAAAGGCAUUAAAACAAAUGGUUAAUGGGAAAAGCCACAUUUCUACUUGAAAUAUUGACAUGAUAGACCAUAACUGCUGAACUUGACUGUAUCAAAAAUUUAUUGACUUCUAAAAUUGAAAUAGGAGCAUGAUUUGUUUUUAAGAAACUUGUUUUAAUGAGAGAUAGGGAGGAGGAAUUAAUCACCAUUUUUUUUCUCCAAGUAUUAAAACAGUUAAAAUCAGACAUUAGAAAAAGAUAAGGUUCAUACUACCUGUGAAACUGAAUUACAUAGCAGAUUCAUCCUGAAAUGGAAAAUGGCCUCUGGAUUCCUACCACCUGGCUUGAAAUCACUCAUCCCUUUCUGAGAAGUUGCUGGACAUGGGCAUGUCCCCAGCCUCCCUUGCCCUCUUAAACACACACACAUACACACACACACAUAGAAAGUCUGUACAUGGGGCUUACAAGAAAGAAAAAAACAGAAGGUCACUAUGCCACCCACCAACAAUGACACUUCAUAUUUCUUACUGAUAAUAACAGCAAGAGCCCCUUCCUCUCUUCCCAAGAGACACACAUUAAGCAGAAAGCAAGAUGGUUGGAACAUAUUUAUCACUAGUUCUAGGUGGAGUUCUAUGUCCCAUACUGAAAUGCUUUAGUAGUUUUCCUAUUUAUCCAGCCAGCCAGCCAGCCAGCCAGCCAGCCAUUCAUGUAUCUAUGUAUCUAUGAAUCCCUCCCCCCCUUAUCUUUAUCUAUAUAUCAUGCAAAUUCUCUAGGCUUAAAACAGUGCAUGGAUGUUUUUAUGUAUCAAGCCUAUUCUUCAGAUGUAGAAUUAUUAUGAACAAAUAUUAUAAAUACUACUCAAAAUAUGUGUGUAGAGAGAAACAUAAUGAGUGAACAUUCAGGGCUGUGUUUCAGGGACUUCAAGCCUCCGAUGUUAAAUACAAAAUCUCUAUUGUAGUCAUUCAGAGUAGGUGUAAAUUAUUUCAGGUACCAUAUCUUUCAAAUGUUUGGUAAUUUGCAAAUAUCAUUUAGAAGUGAAAAUAGUCUACCCUGGGAAGAAGGAAGCACAUGACAAAGUAAUUAUUAUGUAAUUAACCCCUCUAGGGUCCCCAAUUCAUUUCAAAGGGAUAUUUUUAAUAUCACACUAAAUAAUAAGCACAGCUUCACAAAUUCAAAAAUAUGUGAAGUACCAGUUAAAUGGGACAGAUGCUCAGCUACAUGUCACUGAGCAGUUUGUGAACAGAGAAGAUGUUGUAAGCAUUUGAAACUUCUUUUUUUUUUUUUUUUUAAACCGAGAUGUAGAAGACAAGUUUAUUGAGUCAGGAGACACUGUUAACACAGUGGGCCAACUUCGUGAUCAUCAGGAGAGCCUACUGAAACUUCAUUUUAAAGAUAAAAGUUGAGAGUCUUCUUAACUCAUAAAUAGCACCUUGCAAUUCUCCUUAAACUAGGUACCUAUGAAUGAAGGGGAAAAACGCUUAAAGAGAAAUGCUUAGACUUAUUUUGUUGCUAUUGCUGCUUAGGAUAUAUUAAAUUCUCCUUCUGUGGCAAUUCUCUUUUUCUUUCUCUCCCUCUCCAGAACUUCCUCCAUUUGUUGAAUUAGGAAUUUAAGGACCAAGUUCCUUGUUGAAUCACAAAACAUUAAUUUUCCCCAGAAUUUCAGAAACUUUUCAUAAGAGUGCAGGGGAAAUACUUGUUUCUCUUGCUCCUCAGUGAACAAAACAGCAGAAAGAUUCUAUUCAUUUAUAAUUUCAUUCAAAAUUUUCACUGAACACUCCCCUGUAUUCAAUGUUCUAUAUUCCAGUCUCUUUUUGAGAAGUAUGGUCAGGAAAUUACCACCCCAUAGUAUCACAAUCUGAUACUAAUAGAAAACUAAUAGGCCUGAACAAGUCUUGGAGAUAUGAUGUAUAAUACUUACAGGAGUUCCCAUGGUGGCGCAGUGGUUAACGAAUCUGACUAGGAACCAUGAGGUUGCAGGUUCCAUCCCUGACCUUGCUCAGUGGGUUAAGGAUCCGG